GCCUGGGCGGGGUCAUGCAAAUAAAACCGCUCUUAAAGCGCCAGGCCCCGCGGGAGGGCGGGGGCGCUGGAGACGCGCCCGGCUGGGCCAGCGCUGGCGGGGAGGUGCGGCUCUCUGGUCCCUUGCUUUGGUGAGCUCGUGGCCAUUCCAGCUCUUCUCCCGCCUCUGGGACAACUGACCUCACACCUUGUUCUGAGCAUUUGUCCCCCCUGCGAGCCAAGCGCGGAGCCCCUGAAGACAACGGCGCACCCACCGAAGAUGAGCAGGCAGAGCCAUCACUAGCGCUGAGUUUCCGGGAGCUUUCGUGUCUGACUCCGCGUGUUUCUGGGCAGCGGCUGGUUCUUCCACGGAUGUGAAACCAGAAACCCUGCCUCAGGUAAACCCCCCGCCUGCUCCGGGAGCAAGGCUAGG
rnacentral:lncRNA from 1 species